rnacentral:tmRNA from 1 species
GGGGGCGACAUGGCUUCGACGUGGGUUGCGAAACCGGCGGUGCAUGCCGAGGGUGCAGAUUUCCUCGUAAAUCCAUUCUGCUAGCAAGUAAUUGCAAACGACGAAAACUACGCUCUAGCURCKUMWMYCUCGGGCACCAUUCCUCCUCUGUUAAUAGGUAGUUGUCGCUUAGCCACUGGGCCUCCCACUGGA